UGUGAUUUUGGGGGUGGGAGACAGGCUUUUGAAACUCUCUCCUAUGACAUUUUCAUUAAUAAGCUAAGGAAACAGACUAGAUGAAAGUGUUGGAAAGUGGAUAUAUAACUGGUUGAAUCCUCUUGUUCAAAGACUAGUCAUCAAAGGCUCAAUGUUUAGUUGCGGGGAGAGGUAUCAAGGGGGGUUCCCCACUGGUCUGUUCUGGGUGUGGAAUUAUUUAACAUCAUUAAUGAUGCAGAUAACAGGUUUGCAUGCAUGCUUAGUAAAUUUGCAGAUAACACUGCAAAUUUGUGCAGCCUGCAUGGCCCUGGCAGGGAGCUGGGGCAGGCUGGAAGGAGCUGCUGGGCUUCCCCAGGCUUUGUAGGGGCAAGUGUGGAUGGGAAGGGGUAGGGCAGGUGGAUUUGGGGUGUAGGCAACUCUUGAGGGGCAUGUCAGAGUACAGGCUGAAGCAGGAGCCCUGUUGUGAUUUGGGGGGUGGUUGAGUGGUGGCAGUGAGGACAUCUUCCCUUGGCUGAGUGUCCUGCUGGCUGGUUUUGGUUCCCUUGGGAGAGAGACUUUAUUUUGAGCUAUUUUGCAAUUACCUAGAUAUACACUACUCAAAAAAAUGACAAAAAUAUUUUUGAAAUAAUGUAUCUUAUAGUAAAUCUUUGACUUUUAGCAUAUGAUUCGUUUAUCUAUAACUGUGUUAAAAUGGCUUCGCCAUUAAUUUUAUGCGUGUGGCUCUCAACAGCUCACUAAAACUCAUUAAGUGGUCCUCCAGCCAAAAUAAUUGCCCAUCCCUACAGUAAAGUCAGCAGAACUCCCAAAGACUUCAUUGAGUACAGAAUCAGCUCUUUAAUGAAGUCAGACAUGAGGACAUGAAAGUACUGCUGAAUUGUGCACUACAAAUUAGCUUUAGUGAGUCAUAUCAGUGGUAACAUUUAAAAGUCUUCUCUCAUUUUUGGAGGAUUAUGACAUAGUGAAAUAAGCUGUAAUUUGAACCAUAUUUAACAUUCCACUUCCUGGGUGAGUUUGAGCUUAGGAAAGGAGUGUUCCAACUGUUUUGUGAUGACUGUGUGGUGGUUACAGGGUCAUUUCUUUUACAUUGUUUCUUUAAAAUGUAAUUGAAGAAUAUACUUGCCUGUAUUUUUUAAAGGAAAGGAGAAUUUCACUAACUUCUUAACUGAAAAAGUUUUUAUUGAGGUAAGACGUUGGUAUUUUUCUUGAAAUAUGAAUGACACUCUGAAAUGUUGCUCUACGCAGAUUCAACUCUAGAGUUGAAUCUGAUUUAUGAAAGAAGAAUUUGACUUUGUUUAAUUCCUAUGCUCAUGAAGCUUGUUCUGGUUUUUCAGAGCUAGCUAUAUGGGUGGGGGUGGGGGUGUGAAUGUGUGUGA